rnacentral:rRNA from 1 species
UACAUGUGGGGCAAGCGUUGUUCGGAAUUACUGGGCAUAAAGGGUGCGUAGGUGGGUCUGUAAGUCAGUGGUGAAAUCUCCAAGCUUAACUUGGAAACUGCCGUUGAUACUAUAGACCUUGAAUGCUGUGGAGGUGAGCGGAAUAUGUCAUGUAGCGGUGAAAUGCUUAGAUAUGACAUAGAACACCAAUUGCGAAGGCAGCUCACUACCCAGAUAUUGACACUGAGGCACGAAAGCGUGGGGAUCAAACAGG